UACGAAUGGGGCAAGCGUUGUUCGGAAUCACUGGGCUUAAAGCGUACGCAGGCGGUUUAGCAAGUCAGAAGUGAAAUCCCAGGGCUUAACCCUGGAAUUGCUUUUGAAACUGCUAGACUAGAAUCCGAGAGAGGUUGGCGGAAUUCCGAGUGUAGAGGUGAAAUUCGCAGAUAUUCGGAGGAACACCAGUGGCGAAGGCGGCCAACUGGAUCGGUAUUGACGCUCAUGUACGAAAGCGUGGGGAUCAAACAGG
rnacentral:rRNA from 1 species